UGCCAGACUCCUACGGGAGGCAGCAGUGGGGAAUAUCGCACAAUGGGGGAAACCCUGAUGCAGCAACGCCGCGUGAGUGAAGAAGUAUUUCGGUAUGUAAAGCUCUAUCAGCAGGGAAGAAGAUGACGGUACCUGAGUAAGAAGCCCCGGCUAACUACGUGCCAGCAGCCGCGGUAAUACGUAGGGGGCAAGCGUUAUCCGGAUUUACUGGGUGUAAAGGGAGCGUAGACGGUGAGACAAGUCUGAAGUGAAAGCCCGGGGCUCAACCCCGGGACUGCUUUGGAAACUGCCUGACUGGAGUGCUGGAGAGGCAAGCGGAAUUCCUAGUGUAGCGGUGAAAUGCGUAGAUAUUAGGAAGAACACCAGUGGCGAAGGCGGCUUGCUGGACAGUAACUGACGUUGAGGCUCGAAAGCGUGGGGAGCAAACAGGAUUAGAUACCCUGGUACGA
rnacentral:rRNA from 1 species